UACGGAGGAUGCAAGCGUUAUCCGGAUUCAUUGGGUUUAAAGGGUGCGCAGGCGGACUAAUAAGUCAGGGGUGAAAUCUCUCGGCUCAACCGAGAAACUGCCUUUGAUACUGUUAGUCUAGAGUAUAGUUGAAGUGGGCGGAAUGUGUCAUGUAGCGGUGAAAUGCUUAGAUAUGACACAGAACACCGAUCGCGAAGGCAGCUCGCUAAGCUAUAACUGACGCUCAUGCACGAAAGCGUGGGGAUCAAACAGG
rnacentral:rRNA from 1 species